rnacentral:rRNA from 1 species
UAACUUUUAACAAUGGAUCUCUAGGCUCUCACAUCGAUGAAAAGAACACAGUUGAAAUGUGAUAAGUAAUGUGAAUUGCAGAAUUCAGUGAAUCAUUGAAUCUUUGAACGCACCUUGCACCUUUUGGUAUUCCAAAAGGUACACCUGUUUGAGUGUCAUGA